rnacentral:lncRNA from 1 species
GACAUCGUCAAGGGCUGCCUCGGCUCGCUCGACACGGCCGGGAAGAGCACCGGCACCGGGGGCAAGAAGCGCGGGCCGGCGCCCUACAGGAUCUUCAACCUCGGCAACACCUCGCCGGUGACGGUGCCCAACCUGGUGUCCAUCCUGGAGAAGCACCUCCGCGUGAAGGCCAAGAAGAACGUGGUCGAGAUGCCCGGCAAUGGCGACGUGCCAUUCACGCACGCCAACAUCUCCCUCGCGAGGCAGCAGCUCGGCUACAAGCCGACCACCAACCUCGACGUCGGGCUCAAGAAGUUCGUCAAGUGGUACCUCUCCUACUACGGCUACACCAGGGGAUCCAAGAACUUGUGACUAUAAUCCGCCCUAAUUCUUCUGCUAAUUCUUUUCUUUUUCUUUCUUCUUUUUUUCUUCUUAUUCUCUGGCCAUCCAGUGGUCGAUUCCACUCCAGGAUCAAAACAUUAACAUUCUUAUUUCGACUUUUUUUUUGGGGGAAAUAUUUUAGGAUGUUCUUUGGAAUACUGGGGGGAAUUCUUUUCUUGGGGGAGGGGAGGGAGGAAGAAGAAAGCAAUGGAGAGC